rnacentral:rRNA from 2 species
UACGUAGGUGGCAAGCGUUGUCCGGAUUUACUGGGCGUAAAGAGCGCGCAGGCGGUCGCUCAAGUCGCGUGUGAAAGCCCCCGGCUCAACUGGGGAGGGUCACGCGAUACUGAUCGACUCGAAGGCAGGAGAGGGUAGUGGAAUUCCCGGUGUAGUGGUGAAAUGCGUAGAUAUCGGGAGGAACACCAGUGGCGAAGGCGACUACCUGGCCUGUUUCUUGACGCUGAGGCGCGAAAGCUAGGGGAGCAAACGGG